rnacentral:rRNA from 1 species
GACGAACGCUGGCGGCGUGCUUAACACAUGCAAGUCGAACGGAGCUGUUUAUUUCGGUAAAUAGCUUAGUGGCAAACGGGUGAGUAACGCGUAGGCAACCUGCCCUUAGGAUGGGGACAACGGCCCGAAAGGACCGCUAAUACCGAAUGCACUCUAACUUCCGCAUGGAAGAAAGAGGAAAGAUGGUGCAAGCCAUCGCCGAAGGAAGGGCCUGCGUCUGAUUAGCCAGUUGGUGAGGUAACGGCUCACCAAAGCGACGAUCAGUAGCCGGUCUGAGAGGAUGAACGGCCACAAUGGGACUGAGACACGGCCCAUACUCCUACGGGAGGCAGCAGUGGGGAAUCUUCCGCAAUGGGCGAAAGCCUGACGGAGCAACGCCGCGUGAGUGAAGAAGGUCUUCGGAUCGUAAAGCUCUGUUGUUGGGGACGAAAGGAAAAGGGAGGAAAUGCC